AUAAGAAGCUUGGAUAUGGUACCGAACGGUCAGUGAUAUGGUGACGACUGUUUAGGAGAUGAACAUCCGAAGCUACAAACUACAAAGGCUGAGAUGAAAGAAACCCACAAGUGAAUCCAUCUGCCAAAUUGCAUUAGAAGUAAAAAAGGAUGUGCGGCAAACGGUUGGCAACUACGGUUUUUGCCCCCUCCCUAAAAGGUAUAAGAAGCUUGGAUAUGGUACCGAACGGUCAGUGAUAUGGUGACGACUGUUUACGAGAUGAACGCCCGAAGCUACAAACUACAAAGACGAGAUGAAAGAAACCC